rnacentral:rRNA from 1 species
CUCCGGUUGAUCCUGCCGGACCCGACUGCUAUCGGAUUGAGAUUUAGCCAUGCGAGUCGAACGUUCCCCUGUUGCGGGGAGCGUGGCGUACGGCUCAGUAACACGUAGUCAACCUGCCCUGGAGACAAGGACAACCCCGGGAAACUGGGAUUAAUCCUUGAUAGGUCAUCUCAUCUGGAAGGAGAGAUGGCUUAAAGGGGUACGCGGGCUUCUUCCGCGAAUCUGCUCCAGGAUGGGACUGCGUCCGAUCAGGCUGUUGGCGGGGUAAUGGCCCACCAAACCUGUAACCGGUACGGGCCUUGAGAGAGGUGGCCCGGAGAUGGACACUGAGAGAAGGGUCCAGGUCCUACGGGGCGCAGCAGGCGCGAAACCUUCGCAAUGCGCGAAAGCGUGACGAGGUUAAUCCGAGUGACUUCCGCUGAGGAGGUCUUUUGUCAGCUGUAAAUAGGCAGGCGAAUAAGGGGAGGGCAAGCCUGGUGUCAGCCGCCGCGGUAAUACCAGCUCCUCGAGUGGUCGGGGCGAUUAUUGGGCCUAAAGCAUCCGUAGCCGGUUCCGUAGGUCCUCUGUUAAAUCCAACCGCUUAACGGUUGACCUGCAGAGGAUACCGCGGGACUAGGAGGCGGGAGAGGCGGACGGUACUCCGCGUGUAGGGGUAAAAUCCUUUGAUCCGCGGAAGACCACCAGUGGCGAAGGCGGUCCGCCAGAACGCGCUCGACGGUGAGGGAUGAAAGCUGGGGGAGCGAACCGGAUUAGAUACCCGGGUAGUCCCAGCCGUAAACGAUGCUAGCUAGAUGAUUCAUUCGCAAGUCGCGAAUGAAGUGUCGCAGGGAAGCCGUUAAGCUAGCCGCCUGGGGAGUACGGUCGCAAGACUGAAACUUAAAGGAAUUGGCGGGGGAGCA